rnacentral:rRNA from 1 species
AAGCUCGUAGUUGAAUUUCGGGACCAGUAUGUUGGUCGUGCUUCGGUACGUACUGUCAUUACUGGUUUCUCCCUUCUGAAGAACCUUGAUGUCAUUAAUUUGGUGUCUUGGGGAAUCAGGACUGUUACUUUGAAAAAAUUAGAGUGUUUAAAGCAGGCAUACGCUUGAAUACAUUAGCAUGGAAUAAUGAAAUAGGACGUUUGAUUCUAUUUUGUUGGUUUCUAGGAUCGACGUAAUGAUUAAUAGGGAUAGUUGGG